AUUGAACGCUGGCGGCAGGCCUAACACAUGCAAGUCGAGCGGAUGAAGGGAGCUUGCUCCUGGAUUCAGCGGCGGACGGGUGAGUAAUGCCUAGGAAUCUGCCUGGUAGUGGGGGAUAACGUCCGGAAACGGGCGCUAAUACCGCAUACGUCCUGAGGGAGAAAGUGGGGGAUCUUCGGACCUCACGCUAUCAGAUGAGCCUAGGUCGGAUUAGCUAGUUGGUUGGGUAAAGGCCUACCAAGGCGACGAUCCGUAACUGGUCUGAGAGGAUGAUCAGUCACACUGGAACUGAGACACGGUCCAGACUCCUACGGGAGGCAGCAGUCGGGAAUAUUGGACAAUGGGCGAAAGCCUGAUCCAGCCAUGCCGCGUGUGUGAAGAAGGUCUUCGGAUUGUAAAGCACUUUAAGUUGGGAGGAAGGGCAGUAAGUUAAUACCUUGCUGUUUUGACGUUACCAACAGAAUAAGCACCGGCUAACUUCGUG
rnacentral:rRNA from 1 species